rnacentral:rRNA from 1 species
CCUACGGGAGGCAGCAGUGGGGAAUAUUGCACAAUGGGCGAAAGCCUGAUGCAGCAACGCCGCGUGCGGGAUGACGGCCUUCGGGUUGUAAACCGCUUUCAGUUCCGACGAAGGUAACCUGACGGUAGGAACAGAAGAAGGACCGGCCAACUACGUGCCAGCAGCCGCGGUGAUACGUAGGGUCCGAGCGUUGUCCGGAAUUAUUGGGCGUAAAGGGCUUGUAGGCGGUUUGUCGCGUCGGAAGUGAAAACUCAGGGCUUAACCCUGAGCCUGCUUCCGAUACGGGCAAACUAGAGGGAUGCAGGGGAGAACGGAAUUCCUGGUGGAGCGGUGGAAUGCGCAGAUAUCAGGAGGAACACCGGUGGCGAAGGCGGUUCUCUGGGCAUUUCCUGACGCUGAGAAGCGAAAGCGUGGGGAGCAAACAGGCUUAGAUACCCUGGUAGUCCACGCCGUAAACGGUGGGCACUAGGUGUGGGGAACAUUCCACGUUCUCCGUGCCGCAGCUAACGCAUUAAGUGCCCCGCCUGGGGAGUACGGCCGCAAGGCUAAAACUCAAAGGAAUUGACGGGGGCCCGCACAAGCGGCGGAGCAUGUUGCUUAAUUCGAUGCAACGCGAAGAACCUUGCCUAGGCUUGACAUGCACGGAAAUCUCCCAGAGAUGGGGGGUCCGUAAGGGCCGUGCACAGGUGGUGCAUGGUUGUCGUCAGCUCGUGUCGUGAGAUGUUGGGUUAAGUCCCGCAACGAGCGCAACCCUCGUUCUAUGUUGCCAGCGGGUAAUGCCGGGGACUCAUAGGAGACUGCCGGGGUCAACUCGGAGGAAGGUGGGGAUGACGUCAAGUCAGCAUGGCCCCUUAUGUCUUGGGCUACACGCACGCUACAAUGUCCGGGACAGAUGGCAGUCAAUCCGCGAGGUGGAGCGAAUCCUCUCCAAUCCGGUUCUAUUUGGAUCGUGGCUUGAACCCGCCACGUGAUCUGGAGUCCUAUAACCCGCGCGCCACCCCUCCUGCGGUGCAUCUCUCC